UUAAGUUCAGCGGGUAUCCCUACCUGAUUCGAGGUCAACCUAAGAUCUAAAGUCAAAGGGGUGCUUUUGGCUAGUCGCCGUCGCCACUCUGUCGCGAGUCUUCUACUACGCGUAAAGCCGACGUCGGCACCGCCACUAUUUUUAAGGGCCGCCACUACGGCGAGCCCCAACACCGCCGCCACACAAAAUGGUAGCGCGAG
rnacentral:misc_RNA from 1 species